GACCGCGAAGCUCAGUCGGAAGAGCAUUGGGCUAGUAUUCCAAAGGUCGUAGGUUCGAAUCCCACCGUGGCCG
rnacentral:tRNA from 1 species